GCAGGGUGCUGGGCUCCUGUGGUCCCAGAGACUUGGGAGGCUGAGGCAGGAGGAUCACUUGAGCCAGGGAGUUCAAGGCCAGCCUGGGCAACAUAGUGAGACCCUUUCUCAA
rnacentral:sRNA from 1 species